GCCCCGGUAGCUCAAUUGGAUAGAGCAGGUCGGUUCUAACGAUCUGGUUGGGGGUUCAAGUCCCUCCCGGGGUA
rnacentral:tRNA from 1 species